CCUGGAGUUAGGCCUUCAACCAAAGAACCGGGCCAUCCGUGGCAAUGCAUCCCAGGCUUGGGAGCUGGGAAAAGGCCCCGGGAGCUAGGGCAUCCUGAUUGUUCUUUCAAAGAAAUCCCUCUUGUUCUUAGUCAACACGCUGGAUACCAGCUAAAAAAUGCAAAAUGAUCUUCAGGCAGAGAUGGCACAAGGACCCCUGCUGAGCUGUGAAGCCGGGCUGUGAGGAUCCCUGCACGGAAGCAUCAACAUGUUGCCAGAUUGGUAUACAACUCGGCACCACACUGACAUGCUGCUCCCAAACAGUGCCUUUGAAUCAAGACCCAGUCAUCAUAUUUGAAGAGAAAAGAAAUAUCCAUGACCCACGUUGGGACUUCACAGAGGCCACACAGCAAAUUAAUCCAUAAGAAGAUUUAAG
rnacentral:lncRNA from 1 species